rnacentral:rRNA from 1 species
CGGCGGUCAUAGCAGCGGGGGUACACCUCUUCCCAUUCCGAACAGAGAAGUUAAGCCCGCCGGCGCCGAUGGUACUUGGGGCGCAAGCCCCUGGGAGAGUAGGAAGCCGCCGAAUG